UACGGAGGGAGCUAGCGUUGUUCGGAAUUACUGGGCGUAAAGCGCGCGUAGGCGGUUUUUUAAGUCAGAGGUGAAAGCCCGGGGCUCAACCCCGGAAUAGCCUUUGAAACUGGAAAGCUAGAAUCUUGGAGAGGUCAGUGGAAUUCCGAGUGUAGAGGUGAAAUUCGUAGAUAUUCGGAAGAACACCAGUGGCGAAGGCGACUGACUGGACAAGUAUUGACGCUGAGGUGCGAAAGCGUGGGGAGCAAACAGG
rnacentral:rRNA from 1 species